AUUGAACGCUGGCGGCAGGCCUAACACAUGCAAGUCGAACGAGUGGCGGACGGGUGAGUAAUGUCUGGGAAACUGCCCGAUGGAGGGGGAUAACUACUGGAAACGGUAGCUAAUACCGCAUACCAUCGGAUGUGCCCAGAUGGGAUUAGCUUGUAGGUGAGGUAACGGCUCACCAAGGCGACGAUCCGUAACUGGUCUGAGAGGAUGAUCAGACACACUGGAACGGAGACACGGCCCAGACUCCUACGGGAGGCAGAAGUGGGGAAUAUUGCACAAUGGGCGAAAGCCUGAUGCAGCCAUGCCGCGUGUAUGAAGAAGGCCUUCGGGUUGUAAAGUACUUUCAGCGGGGAGGCGUUACCCGCAGAAGAAGCACCGGCUAACUCCGUGCCAGCAGCCGCGGUAAUUC
rnacentral:rRNA from 1 species